CUAUUUACAUUUUGGUUGUCAAGAAUUACUCUUGCUUGUUUCAAUGCAUUGAAUAGAUGGUAGAUAGCUAUCACUUCUAUGUGAUAAAGAUUGAAUGUUUAGACCAUUUAGGAACAAAAUCUGGCAUGAAUCUUAUUUGGAGACAUGUUUAGAUAUGAUUGAACUGAAUUUAUUAGGGAGACAGGAGUCUGCUUGAUUCACGUUCUACAAUUAACAUGCAUGUUGUACAUGUUAUCAGUUAUUGUUAUUUUCAUGAUUAGGGUUUAUGCGACGCCAACGGGGCAAAUAAAGCACAGCUGUUUCUUAACAAGUAAGAUGAGUAGGACUUUUCAGAGGGAUUGCAUGUGGCCAAGUUUCCUUGCAUUCUGUGGUGUGAAAAGGGUAAAUUGCAGCAGCAGAAGCAUAUUGAUGGAAGAAGGUUCCUCAUGACCAUGAUUGUGCUCCAAGUAUGUAAUGUAAUUUACAUGUGCAUGCAUUGCAUGCCCCAAGUUGCUAUCAGGGCUGCUUGCCAUAGAAUGGUGGAUUCUUGGUUUGGCUUCAAUUCAUUUCUUCACUAUUGUUGCUAUUGUGGAGACUUGUCAAUCCAUGAAUCAAAUUGUUUUGCUUGGAAUGUGGCAGGAUAUGUGUAUAUACAUAUAUGUAUGGCUGUGGUGAAAAAGUAUCAUGAAUGGAGUGGGUCCAUCUCUGUAUUAAUUAUUCAUGUGAGGGUGGAGGCACACCCCAGUUAGGUAAGAAAAAUUGCAAGGGUCAUAUUCAUUUUUCAAAUCUUGCAUGCAUUAU